ACUGGGCAAGUUGGUCCGCGUACUUCUUGCCAUUGUCAGGUUAUAAGGAGUGUGAGCCUGUGGUCAGCUGGAACAAGCCAAAUAGAGGAGAGUAUUCACUGUGCUUAUUGCUCUCUCAUUGAGAAAGCGGAGCACUUUAUAUACAUUGAGAAUCAAUUUUUUAUAUCAGGUCUUUCAGGAGAUGAAACUAUACAGAAUCGCGUGUUAGAAUCAUUAUACCGUCGUAUUAUGCGAGCAUACAAUGAGAAGAAGUGUUUCAGGGUUAUUGUGGUCAUACCUCUGAUUCCUGGUUUCCAGGGGGGUUUGGAUGACAGUGGUGCUGCAUCUUUGAGAGCCAUAAUGCAUUGGCAAUAUCGAACCAUUUGCAGAGGACAAAAUUCAAACCCCCCUG
rnacentral:misc_RNA from 1 species